rnacentral:lncRNA from 1 species
ACAGGCAGCCGACUGGGGGUUGCCGCUAACCCACGCCUAAAUCUCGUCGUAAUAUUAGAACUCCUGGAAGUCUCCUUCUACGGCUUCAUCUUCUCCUGAGCAGUGGUUGCAAUGCAGACAACCUGGGGAUGGGGGGUUUGGUGUGUAGAGCAAGGGUGAGUACACAUCAACAUACUCAGCAAGUGUCCUGUUUGGUUGUAGUGGACUAGCUUUAUGUGGGGCUAAGUCAAGCAAUUGCUUUUAGUUGGUCAGAUUAUUAUUACUAGUAGAGAAAGCCAAGUUUUAGAAUUAACCCACGUUAUUAACCCAAACGUACCCUUUCCAAACGGAAAGAAUACCACUUACUGUUACCAUAGUUAAUGCCAAACCAUCAUUCUCAUUGCCACCUGUAAUCCGAACAUCUCUGAUCAAGUGCCACUAAUCAAUGGAGCUCCCUUGGCCGCUCAUAACCGCGAGCACGGCUGAUAUAUCAGUUUCAUAACACUCUGCAGAGGUUGUGCACUUUACCCACAAGCCGUGAUUCCCUCUUGCCUCGGGCCGAUCAAACCCUUAAACACUACCAAGGUGAAUAGGCAGGGUCUCACUACGUAGCCUUUACAAAGAUUCCCUGGGGUUGUAGCCGCCCGUUAGGUUUCCUAAAUGCACCGCACUCCUCCUCAAGGGGCGAACCAACCUUAGCAGAGCGAGCCGCAUACACCGAGCCCCAUUAACGGCACGACGGCGAAGCGAACUACACCCCAGUUCCUCUAAUUACUCAGCUAAGGGCAUCCCAUUCCACCCUUAUGGUUGCACUGUUUUCCCGGGCGGUCAUCCAACGAACAGGUCCUUACGGAGAAGCACUCGAGAAACCGCUCGAGCCCCCUUAAAUGCCACAAGUAUAUCAUAAUAAAGAAGGGAAACAGCGUAUCAUUGAUAAAUCUCAUCAUGUUCAUUGAUUAUGGUUAAGCACUAGCAUAAAGCUAAACCAUAAUAAUCCAACCCAAAUAGGUAAACAAGGACAUGGAUAACAAAAACUAGUCAAUCCUUAGGUAUAACUGUGUAAAUGCGGGAAUUGAAUUAUAGAAUGUAUAGGACAAAGAUAGGUCAAGGGACACUUGCCUUCACCAAACAGAUGCUCAGGGUCUUCAUCCUCGUAGAACUCGAAGAGUUCGAUCACUUGGUCGCCAAGCUUGAUCAUCGAUCCCUCGAAGCUCGGAAACGGAUCACAGUCUAUUCGUGACGCACAGCGAAUACAAACAGGCACAAACAAACAUAUAUAUAUAUAUGCAUAAGAACAUUACACCAUUCAAAUAAAAAAAUAACAAAAUAUGCAAAACGAAGUAGAGUGCGUUACUACGGUCACACGAGGAAAAGAAGCGUCGAAAUCGAAGCUAUGGUCAAGAAGUUAACGGGUUUACGCUAAACAAAUACUAAUUAAAACAUUUGAUUCGACCUGAUUAUAUUAAUCGAUAUUUAUUAUAUAAGCCUAAGUGGAAUACUACGCAUUUAAUCUAGUUAGAAUGUUAAUCUAAUAAAUAUUAGUCGAGCGAACCUUAAGUUAAUUAUCUAAAACAUAUGACCUGACGAAUUAACGUUAUUAACAUGAGUAAUUAUAAGCAAAAACAAUUUAUUAUCACACACAGACGCCGCACGACCCACGUGAUCGACACGCGAGAUACACGCUAACGGUCCACGGUAAGGCAAACGACACGAGUAAAUGACACACGCGACGCACACACACGACGUAUGACAACGCGGGCGAACAGCACGCGCGACACGUGCUAACCAACGUGACUACGCGCGCGAACAGCUCAAUGACGCGCAUACGAUGUCGCGCGCGAACAAUGACAAAUAAAUAAUUAAAUAAAAGUAUUUAAGCUGGUAUUAAUCAAGUUAAUUAACAUUUAUAUUUAUAAAAGCAUGAGUUAAAACUAUAGACUCGUUCUAAUUAAAUUGUUAUUUUAAUAACCCUCAAGUAAACCAAUAAUUAAUUAUUUAACUAAAACAUGUGUGGUAACAACAUAAUAAUUUUAACGUGCGUACAAGAUCAUUACACGGUUAAUAUAACUGGAACGGAAUGAAUCAAAUAUCUAAUGCCAAAGUUAAUACAUACUCAUUAAUCGCAGAUUAACGACGACGUGGUGCAAUCCUAUCGACCGACCACUUACCACAAAAAGGGUCACACGAGGUGCAGCCACAGAAAAUCUUUAGAUGUGGGAUCUGGUGUGGCUAGCAUCUCCUUUCUCUCCACCAACUGCUCACUCCUUCACAAUUCUCUUCUCCCUCGUCUGCUGCGCAUGCACGAACUGAAAUGGUUGAUUCGAUUUAUGAGUUCCGUGCAUAGGGGGUGAAAAAUGAAAGAAAAUUGGACGCUUUUCCGUUGUCUGGGGAUAGUCCCAAAAGGAGUAGCAAAUGAUUUUUAAUAAAAUGCUUUUGGAUUCAAUCGUGCUCCAGCUGCAAAAUGAUUUUUACUGUAUGCAUACGGACCUACGAAUGGGGCUGGAGGUUCGAUGUAUCUUCCUGAGGCCAGGGAUCUUCUACUACAUCUGGAAGUCGCAUACUGCUUUAUUGGUUGUUCUCUCUUCAACCUUCCAUGUGCCUCCACUCCAUUCUUCAAACGCAACGACGCAAGGGGACGGGUGGGACUGGCCUGGUCGAGGCUCGGUGCUGGGCUUCGGCGCAGGUGCCGGGGAGCCGCGGCCAGGGGCAAGAACGCACACGCACGUGGGGGCUGGGGGCUCCAUGUGGUCUGCGUUGCAGGGAGCAGGCACUGACCAUGGUGGCAAACCCGCAGCAGCUAGCUACGGCGGAGCGGAGCGGGAGCGAGAUAGACGAGGGAAGGGGGUAGACGACCUCACCUCACCAGACCAUCACGAUGAAGAACGGCGAGGGAAAACAUGGACAGCAGGUCAGCGAAGCUCCGGUGGGGAAGGUGCUUGGCGUCCGGGUUUCUUCGACCGCUCGCCGGAGCCGGGCCACGCCACGCCGAGCUGCGCGCAGGAGAGCCAAGGGCGGAGCUGCGCCGCCGAAAAGGGUUGGUCGUGCCCGAGGGCAGGGAGGCGCUAGAGAGAGGGGAGCGGGGCGAGGGAGAUGCAGGGGUUGUUCAAAUGGUCGACAUGGGUGGGCGGUUGGUGCUUUUCUACAUCUGGGCAAGAUGGACGGGGACAGACAGUUUUGAGGGAG